rnacentral:rRNA from 11 species
GGCAAUGGCCUAAAUACCCUAAAGUCACCAGAUCCUGUCUAACCCUGGGACCUAAUCAAGGUCAGCUCUGGUUAAUACUUGGAUGAGAGAUCACUAUUGAAAACCAGGUGCUAUAGGCU